GAGAUUGUAGAGAUCUUACGUGGCGGGCAUUGAAUCCAUUGAUUUGAUUCUCUUUCUCUCUCAAAGGAUAUUUGCUACCUUUGGAUAAGAGAGAAAGAAAGAGGAGUAAAACAAUGGCAAUGGCAAUGGCAAUGGCGAGUUCUACUUCUGCUAAUAUCACUGUUAUUCAUCGAUGCCUUCCUCCUCCAAACAGAGUAAAAGCGUUGCGGCUUCGUGUUGUUAACUCAACUCAACACAAUCAAGAACACAAUACCUCACAGUCACAGGAAGAAGCAUCAGUGAAGGUUUCAAGGCGCGUGUGUCUAACGUGCAUGUGUUCGAGUGCAGCUCUGUCUCUAAUUGCAGCUGCACCAAAUUCAACUGCUGCGGCGGGAAUGGAGAAAGCAGUGUGUAGAAACUGCGGCGGAAGUGGUGCUAUCAUCUGUGACAUGUGCGGUGGUACCGGAAAAUGGAAAGCUCUCAACAGGAAACGCGCCAAAGAUGUUUAUGAAUUCACUGAGUGUCCUAAUUGUUACGGUCGAGGAAAGCUUGUGUGUCCAGUUUGCUUAGGAACUGGGUUGCCAAACAAUAAAGGUCUCCUAAGGAGGCCUGAUGCGCGAAAACUACUUGAUAAGAUGUAUAAUGGACGCCUACUUCCAAACUCUUAAGAAAAAUGAAUCAAAUCUGUAGAUGUUCACACUUCAUACCUUUCUUGUCCAUUCAAGGAGGAAUAUUCAAGGUAAUUCAUGCUUGAAUAAGUGGGAAUUGGCCAAUUGGGAAAUAGCAAUUAAGCCCACCUUCAAACAAACCAAAAGAAAGGCAUAUUGGAUGGCUAUUUGUAACUUGACAUAAGUGAACUAGAGGUAGAUGAGGAGCACUUAGAUUUUCGAAGCUUCUUUUCAACGGUGCUCAACCUAUCUUCACUGUUCUUAAGCUCGCGCCCCAUUUGUUUGAGCAUUUUGCGCGUGGAUCGUAUCAUCCCUCGUUUCUCUUUUACAAUCAUUGUGAGUAUAUCCAAUGUAUCCUCUUCAGGUUGGAGGCGACAUGGAAAAUAUGAUGUUUUCUCAUAGUGUUUGUUAAGGAACUCAUCUUCUGAGUACAUUUGUAACUUAUCAAUGUCAUAUGUUACCAUCUUUUUCUUACCUUUGA